AAGACCUUACUUCAUAGGAUCAUUUCUAUAGUAAGCUCUUCGCUAGACCUUCACACUAUGUGAAACCACCCUUAACCACGUUGAUGAGACGUGGCGCGGCGCCCUGAGCGUGAGGCGGGCGGCAGUGUCCACUGCCAGCCCUCGAUGAUCGUUCGCCCUCCGCUUCGGCGGAGGGGGUGGGGCGUUGUCGCUGUCUGAGUGGU